GGUUUUAUUUUUUUGGGUUUUUUCCCCUUCCAGGAGUGACUUGAUCAUGUGGUCUUGAAGGUUUGAUUCUCAGCUUCUUUAUUCUUAAGACCAAGCACAAUUUGUUGAAAAGUUGUUUGGAUGGGUUUAGUUAUGUCAUGGCUUGAUCGGUGUUUUACGUGCAAGAACAGAAAAUUAGUGAAGGAGAAACAGAACACUCAAGAUGUAAGAAAGUCCAAACGAUGAAUCGCAGGACUAAAUGGCAAUGGCUGAUGCGAUGCCUCUAUCCUUUUUUUUUUUUGUGCGUCAUGAACAGCGCAACUGUUCUUAUUGACUCCUUAGUAAGUGGGAAUGGGUUGCAUUCACUGAGGAACUUCAUGUUCCAAGAUUGAGCUUGACGGUACAAUUUCUUUAACCAUUGAAUGUGAUGAUUAUACUGAUGGUAUAUUCGGGGAUUAAGCUUGUACGGGUCUGAAGCUCUAACGGGCCAACUACACACAAUGACGUUGGGACCCUGUUACGUUGGGAGCCUCCAACCUCACCCAGUCUCCACUCCCAGGUUGGGAACUGAUCCAGAUGGCUUAGGGAUCUAUUUGGCAUUGAGGAUAAUGACUCAGCUGGAGACUAAUCAUGAUGACAACAGUGGAAUGAUCGAACUGCGUAAAUUUUUUCAAAGCUUUCCGUCUACUUAAUGCUUGUUGAUAGCUCCAUGAGAAAAGAGGCAACUAUUGCUGUAUUGCGAACCUGGGGUUCUUGCGAGGCGUCUAAGACUCGAAAUUCUGGCGGCGGUGGUGACAUAGAUAGGGGAGAGAGAGAGAGAGAGAGAGAGAGAGAGAGAGAGAGAGAGAGAGAGAACGAGCUGUUAGAAGCUAGGUGUUGGCAAUUAGAAGAGUUGGGCGUGGUGUUCGAAGGACCUGAAAGAUGGAUGUUCAAGAAGAGGAGGUCGAUUGGGUAGAGGAAGUCGACUGGUAGGUUCUCUAUUUCUUCAAAGUUGAUAACUAGAGAG